GAAACCUUGAGGAUUUAUGCCACCUGGGACUUGCCCAGUGUUUCAUGCUGCUCACAGGAAGGAUCAUUAGUUUAGGAGUUGAGAACAUGUCUUAGUGCAUUUGAUUGAUUUUUCCCAAAGCACACUCAUGUGCUACAAAUUAUAGGCUGUUUUUCUAUUACGUGGGCUUCUUCCCAGGUUACACAUAAGAACAAUGAAACUUUUUAGCAAACCUGUUUAUGUACAAACAAAAUCCACAAUUCACUGCGGGUUCCCUGUUCACCCUACAGGCAGUGUGCUGCUUUGGCAGAGCCACUUCCAGCUCACGUGAGGUGGCUAAGAGAGAUUUCAGCACAGUUAACUUGGUAGCUCUCUUAACAGUGCAGCCUCUGAAAAGUCAAAUCAGCACAGAGAAACUACAGCAGCCACACAGGAAGGGCAAGAAAGGAUGCUCUGGCAGGCACUUGGCAUACCUUUCCCUGUCAAUAACGUGUACUGAGAAAGAUCUGCUGCUGAGGCAAGGAUGGCUUUAAAACUGAGUGAAUGAAUAAAUGAAGAAACAUUUCAUGUGGUCUGCUGGUGCGUGAUGGGGUCUAGUUUUUCCACAAGACUGAGUCUCUGGGCUGAAAGGGUUCAGUGUAUUGCUGGUCUGGCUUUCUUGUCAGCGUGCAGUUGUCCCUACCCUGUGUGCCCUGUUCGUUCACCACCACUCACAGACAGCUCACAGGAAACUCCCACAAAUAGCCAGUAAAUAAAAUCAUUAACUGAACACAGCCUUCAAUUCCUCAUUUGCUGGUGGGCAGUUUUUAAACUUAUGCCCACUUCAGAAGGAUAAACCUAAGCCAAUAGCUACUUGCAGGAAACUUCCUGCAAGCACUUACAGCGAACGCUGAACUCUUGACAAGCACGUAGGUUAAACAGAAUAUUUUCAUUGUCAUGAAUGGAAGAGUUCAGCCCUGCAAACAAGAUGUACUGUGCAGCUACAUACACUUAGGAGUUGAUUUUCUAGAAGAAAACUGUUUCAGACAGUGACUAAGAAUUGGCUGUUCAAGUUCCUGCCAGGACACGUAAGCACAUUAAAGUAUUUGAGGAGAGUGAACCCAACGGGGCAGUGAGUACAGCUACAGCAGAGUCAGCUUUUUAAGUUUAUACUCCUAGAAAACUUUCCAAGCCCUUUGUCCAUAUCUCUUAAUGGUAUCUUACAAAGCAGCAUCGUGCCUGUGCUAAAACAUAGAUCCCGCAGCUUGGUCAAAAGGGAAUAAUAACAACCUUAAGAGGAAAAUGUAAAUGAAAGCAGGCGGACUUGGUUAUCGCUGCAUUUUUUCCUCUCAUAAAUUUAUUUGCCUGAUUUCAUACCAGCGCUACAGUGUAAGCUGCGGCAGGGAGGAGGGGAAGCAGGGGGAUGAGCCAGAGAACAAAACAAAGGGUGUUUUUACACUAAAUUGUGUACUAAAGUCCUUCCCGCAAACAAAAAAGGAAAUAGGUUGGAUGGGAUCAAAAUGUAAGUGUUGCACACAAAGCAAGCAGUGUUGUUUCUAGUAUUACGGACAUACAGUUUCUGCCUCUUCACUGAUAAAUAGACUGAAGAGCUCAAGUUAUAAGCACGUUUCGUGCUGCAGCUUUUGAAAGGGUUCUGCGUGAGCUCCCCUCAAAUUUCCACACCAUCUUGUUCUUUCUUCUUAAUAGAAGUCCACAGCAUGUUGACCCUAAAUAUAAUGUGGGCAUUUGGAACCCGUGGAAGCUUAGAAUAUUGCUUAAGGGCAUGCUGAAUGAAAAAGAGAGAAUUAAAUUAUCAAAAAAAGCUCUCUAAACUCAGGUAUAGAUCCCAUCUGUGGAACACUGCUGAAAUUAACGGAAUUAUGGUGUUUCUCCCCUCUCACCCUGCACACAGCCCUUUAUGCUGCACUUCCCUCUUCCCUCUACCUGCUGGCAGUUCCCAGAGCUGCUCAGAUUUCCACAAGACUUAAUCUGUGACUUUGCUUUUGUGAUUUAGAAUCAUACAUCAUAGAGUGAUUUGAGUUGGAAAAGACCUUAAAGACCAUCCGGUUCCAACCCCCGGCCACAGGCAGGGACACCUUCCACUUGACCAGGUUGCUGAAAGUCCUGUCCAACCUCUAACACGUCUUCACAUCAUCAGUGUUUUCUCCUGACAGACCCAUUCUCCUUUUCCCUCUGGGAAUAACCUACAAUCCCUCUUCCUCUCACAUGCUAUAGCCAGCUGUUAGCCACGGAAACCCUUUGACAUCCCUGCUAUAGGGAAAUGGCUACAGAGGGCGUGAGCCCGAGCUGCUCUGCAGCUGGGAUGUAGCAUCCCCCGUGCUUGCAGAGAAAUGAAAUAACAUCGUUCAUGUUUGUGUUGGAAUUGCACAGUCAAACAGGAAAGUGCUUGAGAAAAAUAAAUGAUUACAAGGAAUAUACUUUCUAGGUCAGAUUCUCUUGCAUAAAACUUUUCAUGACUAUGAGGAUGGAAGAAGCGGAAGAAAAGUUCUGCUGAUAGGAUAGCGUUUUCUAUUGCUUUAAAACCCAGUGAAAGUCACAGAUCAUGUAGCAUAUGUCAUGUCCCCAAAAGCUUUUUCUCUCUGGUGUGGUUAGUAACUUGUUUGGUACUACAAGGAACAGGACUUGGAAAGGAAAUGCAAACCACUUUGAUAAUUUCCAUGCCUGUCAAAUCUUACAUUAAGCAAGGGAGUCACUCAGUUGACUCAUGUAUUGCUUGAUCACAUAGCUCAUGAAUUCUCAUCUGUUCUCUCUCAGCUGUGUUUACUAUUUUCUGGUAAACCAAUCCGUGGUAAUUAUCUUGAUAAAGCAGGCUUUGGUCAGUGCCUGGCCUGCCUUUUGCCAGCCUCUGCAGUGGUGAGGGAAGAAGACUUUGUUCCCUCCUUUGACCAGUGAGGUGGAGAGGUUGUCCUGUGCUGGAGGACAAGCCUGGUGUGUUGCCUCGUGGGCUCCAGGAGCAGUCACGAUGCUGCACAUCAGCCCAUAGCUGUGACACUCGUGAUGAAGAGAAAACACAAACCACCUGAGAAACCCACAUUUUGGUUGUAUGAAUUAUUGCUCUUCAAAGUGAAAAGUAGCUGUUCCAUAUUCUCUGUACCUAAUCAGAGAGAAACGUGUCAGACUAACAUACCUUUUUUAAAGAGGAUGCAUGAAGAGCAUAUAACGAGACAAUUUAAUCUUCUUUUCCCAUGUGGCACAAUUCCUUGCAUUUUAAAGUCGUCUGUUUGGUUUUCCACUUUUGAAGCCAAACCAUUAUGAUUAACUUUAGAUUUUAUUUUUAGAUUUUUGGAUGUGCUGAGCCUUUUUAGAGAAAACACACAGAAUGUCCUAUCAACUGUUUUCACACAUUUUGUUUGUAUCAUAAUAAGUAGGCAAUCAGGCACAAUCAUCCUCAAUUUGGUGCAUAUGCAGUACAUUACCGUGCCAGUUGUACUAAAAGAUAUGCAUAAAGCAAGUGCAAAUUAACUGGGAAAGAAGGAAGCUCAGACCAUUUUGCUAUUCAAAAUGCACUUGAGUAAAAUUUGCAUAAGUUCUCAUUUGGAAUUAAAAAUGCAAUUUAUUCAGCAAAUGUGAAGAAUACUGAAUGUGUGUGUGAGUGACCACAUCUUCCUGGUGAUCCUGAAUCCCGAUUCUGCAGCUCAAACCUGGUUUGUUCUGGUGGUGGGAUUUCUCUUCAGAACAAGAGCAUGGCAUGCAGACUUGCUUGCCAUGAGCAUCUUACUUUUAUUUUCUUCACAACACUGUUUUUUCCACAUACAAAAUACAGAAACUGAAAUGAAAGCCUGGAAUCUAUUCUAAUAAGAAUAAUACAAAGUCACUUUUGAUCAGUGGUAUUUGUAGGUCUUAAGACAGAUCAGGUCUUACUGCUUGAGAGUGAACAUAACAUAUUGAAAUAUCAGGUAUGGGGUUGUUUGGUUUGGUUUUUUUGGUUUGGUUUUUUUGGGUUUCUUUUCCCCAAAAUUGCCAAGUUUAUGAUGGUACAUGAAAUAUUAGACAAGAAAACACAAAGAGUGCUCAGUUAGAAGUUGGUCAAAUUUACCAUAUCAAAUUGUACAGCAGUAAUGGCAUUAGAGUCGUUCUCUCCUCAUAUAAAAGGCUUUUUCCUUUGUCUAAUUAAUUCAUUCUUAACACUAUGAAAAAUUGGCAGCAUUCACAAUCAACUGCACUUCUGGGCUUUAAACACUAAGAGGUGACAACUUAUCAGCAUUGUGACAUUAAUUCCAACAUUGUUGACUGCUCCUUUAUGCACGCUGUUUGGAUACAUUUUAAACCAAUAUAACUUCACUAUUUUAUGUUCUACUACCAAGUGCAACUACAGGACUUGUAAAGUUUUUAGAUUCUUGUAAAUACAAAUGGUGCUGGGCUGCCAGUAAUAGUAAUGGAGAAGUUUUUGCUUCAGCACUGGGGCUUUUAAAUAAGAAGAGUAUUUUAAGUUGCUUUUUAAGACUUUACUAUGCAUUUUAAUAUCCAAA
rnacentral:lncRNA from 1 species